UACGAAGGGGGCUAGCGUUGCUCGGAUUGACUGGGCGUAAAGCGCACGUAGGCGGCUUUGUAAGUUAGAGGUGAAAGCCCGGGGCUCAACCCCGGAAUUGCCUUUAAGACUGCAUCGCUUGAAUCCGGGAGAGGUGAGUGGAACUGCGAGUGUAGAGGUGAAAUUCGUAGAUAUUCGCAAGAACACCAGUGGCGAAGGCGGCUCACUGGCCCGGUAC
rnacentral:rRNA from 1 species